rnacentral:rRNA from 1 species
GAUGAACGCUGGCGGCGUGCCUAAUACAUGCAAGUCGAGCGAACGGACGAGAAGCUUGCUUCUCUGAUGUUAGCGGCGGACGGGUGAGUAACACGUGGAUAACCUACCUAUAAGACUGGGAUAACUUCGGGAAACCGUAGCUAAUACCGGAUAAUAUUUUGAACCGCAUGGUUCAAAAGUGAAAGACGGUCUUGCUGUCACUUAUAGAUGGAUCCGCGCUGCAUUAGCUAGUUGGUAAGGUAACGGCUUACCAAGGCAACGAUGCAUAGCCGACCUGAGAGGGUGAUCGGCCACACUGGAACUGAGACACGGUCCAGACUCCUACGGGAGGCAGCAGUAGGGAAUCUUCCGCAAAGGGCGAAAGCCUGACGGAGCAACGCCGCGUGAGUGAUGAAGGUCUUCGGAUCGUAAAACUCUGUUAUUAGGGAAGAACAUAUGUGUAAGUAACUGUGCACAUCUUGACGGUACCUAAUCAGAAAGCCACGGCUAACUACGUG